GCCUGUCUGCUCCUUCCCCAAGUAUAAAUACACAAAAGAAGAAUCCACACAAGUCUGUUUACAAUUUAGAACAACAACAACCAAAAAAAAAAAAAAAAAAAAAGAAAGAAAGAAAGAAAAAGAAAGUCAUGGUGAUGAGUCCAGAAUGUCCAAGCCAGUUUUAAAGCAGCUGGCCUUUGCGUUGCUAAGUGUGUUUAUUUUUUCCGUUCUCUCCUGAAACCAUAGUUGCUACAAAAUCCCAGAAACAGAAACUGCCCUGAAUUUACAGAACUGCCUUAUUCCAUCAAACCCCAUCACCAAACUGUGAUUACAUGGGUGUGAAGACUAAAACAGCCCAAGAUUCCUGAAAUGUCACAUAUUUGCCAUUUGACCAAAAUGGAACCAAGCCUGUCGGUUUGCCUCAUUACUUUUUGAAAAAGGAAAAGUGAUUAUCCAUGGAAAUGCUCUUAACAUUGUCCUUAUUUUCUUCUGAAGAAUCACAUCCCUUCAUAGAGAAAUUGUAGUCCUUGUCAAAGGGAUCAGUCUACCCACCAAACAGAGAGUCUCAAAAAAGGAUCAAACUACCCCAAACUCUGGUGGUAGCGUUAUGCUCCAAUGCACUAGUUAGACAGCUGGGCAUCCGCUUAGAACAUGCUGUCACCUGUAUUAGCUCAUAAUGAAGCGCUUGCUCUCCGUCAGAGCGGCUGCCCACCUUCUGUUAGGCUUCAGCAUCAAGCCUUUCAGGCCAGUAACUGCAACUCUUCUCUGAACGAAAUGAACCAGGCUCUUCCUCUAUCACAGGAAGUAUUGUAAUGACCAUCGAUUGUGAUGGGGUGCGUCUUUCCCACAUAUAAACACCCAUCGUAGAAAGGAGCAGAGCCACGAGUCUACUCGGAGGCUCUAACAAUGGAUUCUACCAAUAGGAUCGUUAUUUUCCUAUUUGUCUGUUUAUGUGCUUUAGAAGUUUUUGAAGAUGGCAACAGCAUAUAUUAUUCAUAUUAUUGUCUCAUAUUAGCUUCUUAUUUAAGACAGCAACCACACCUAUCAGCUUCACUCUCGCCAAUGUCUGUCUUCUUUCUUAAGGUUAAAAAGAAGUAAAUGAGGAAGUCAGAAGCCUGAGCCUUUUCUCCACCCCUCACCACACACCUGUGCCUUUCAGGACGAAUAUUUGAUGACCCUGGGACAAAAAGCAUGCUGUUCUGGACCUUAUAGUAUUAUAAUGUACUCAAAAUAUGUUAUGGAUACGUUUAAAUGGUACUGAUAUUCUUUUUUGGCUCUCAGAUAAUAGUAGUAAAUCACUAAUUAAAGGAAGGAAGUGAAUAUAUAUCUGAGUCUUUAAUCAAGUUUAAACCUGGGGAAACGUAUCAAAUUGAUGAGGAAAACAACAUUCUCCUUAGGUGGCGUGUUCACUGCGCUAACAGAAAAAGAAAUCCCCUCAUAUUUAUUUACCUGCUUCACUCCAAGAAACAACACCCUGUGAUGUCAACAAAGAUACUGAGCCUUUACUCCUAAGUUAUUGAUGAUGGCUCCUAAUAUCAAUCUUUAUCUCAGCAGGAGCCAAGACACAUGUUUUAUAGAUUUCCUAAGGACAUAGAAAAAAAUGAGAUGAAUUAAAACAGAGCUUGAGAACAAAUACUUUCUCUGAAGAAUCUUAGAAAGAAUAAGAUGCAGUGUCAGGGUUGACAUUGAGGUAAAGAUCCAGUUCUGAUGUUUCAGGUCAGUGUGGCCUUGAGAAAGCCACUUGAACUGGCUGAGAGUCUUUCUCUUCACCUACAAAGUGGGGCUAAUCAUGCUCCCCCAUUUAAUUGUCCUGAAGUUACCUUGAAGUUUGUUUGUAAUCCAACGAUCAAAGCCAAUGGCCCUUUCUGUCUUUGUGCAGCCUGAGUUUUCUGCAUAUACAGUUAAGUUUCCUCACAUGCUCUCCUUUCAUCAUGUGACACUCUGUGGCUUCCACUCCCAACUUUAGAAUACACUUUCUAUAUCCGUAUCUUUUGUUGCCUUUCUCCUGCCUCCUAAAGUGAAUGCCCCUGAAAUUGUCUCUCUGGGCCUUUCCUCCUCUCUCAUUCUCCCCUCAGCCCUCACCCCCCAAUCUCAUGGACAGUUCUCAUGUCUGUGUCUCUAAUUCACAGCUCUGCUCUCGGAUCCGCACUGUUUCCAGUUGCCUGAUCAAUAGACCCACUUGGAAAGCGCAUAGGUAAUUAGCACUCAUGACUGACAGCUACUUACAGAGUUCUCUUGUGGCCAGUGGGUGAAGGGUCUGGCGUUGUCACUGCUGCGGCUUGUGAUUGCUGUUUCUAUAAAUGGCACUGUUUUCUUCCUAAUUCCCCACUAUCAAAAUGUCAGGAAUAUAAUCGACGUCUUUAUUCCUUCUCCUCCUGAUUUUCAUAUUUGGUUGGUUUGCCCUCUGCAGAAUGCUUUUGUACCUACUUCCUUCCACUUUCUAGGGCACUGCCAUGGCUCUGGCUUACCUUGCCUCCUGUGUAAACUAUUCCAGCAGGUUUUCUGCAUAUCUAGUUCACCUCUAAUUCAUUCGCUACAUGCAGCCAGAACAAUCUUCCUAAAGCACAACUCUGGACAGAUCAUUCUCCCAAAGCGCAUACUUUUAAAGACUCUGAUUGCACAUGAGCUCAAAUUCAGCCUUCUUAUCUUGGUUCCAUUUAUCCAUUCCUUUCGUGUAUAUUGAUAGUUUUACAAUAGUUAUGCUAGAAAUACAGUGAGAAAAACAGCAUGAUUCCUGCCCUCACUGAAUCUUCAGUCCAGGAUGGAAGGCAAACAUUGCAAGAAUAGGCAAACAAAUUAAUUAGAAUUGUCAGCACUUUAUGAGAGAGAUUAUUUUUCAAGUGACUUCAUUUGGUCCGGAGGAUCAGAGAAGGCUCUCCCACAGAAGUUUUAUUUCUAUAUAGCAUAUGUGUAGUGACUUCAGUUUUCUUAAAUCCUCUACUCAUAAUCAAUCUUUCAUUCAAACUGAACAACCCAGAAUCUUUGAUGAUGCCUUCUUCAAAGGCAUUUGAUGAUGUGUUGUUCAUGCUGAAGCAUUUAUUUAUAAUAUAUUCUACAUAUUUUUCAAGUCCCACCUUUUUUGUGUAGGCUUUUUAGUAAUUUCUCCUAUCAGCUGUGAGUUCUCGCUCCCUUAAGCCAAUGGUCCAAUGACCUUUUUAAAACCAGACCUGUUUGGAGGAUACACGGUCAAGAUGCAAAAAUUAGUUGUAUUUGGAGUUCCCUUGGUGGCACAGUGGGUUAAGGAUCCAGUGUCAUCACUCACUGAUCUGUGGUGUAGGUUACAGACACGGCUCAGAUUUGUGUUGCUGUGGCCAUGGCGUAGACCGGCAGCUACAGCUCUGAUUGGACCCCUAGCCUGGGAACCUCCAUAUGCUGCGGGUGCAUACCUAAAAGACAAAAAGAAAAGAAAAAGUUGUUUAAUUGCAGUUUUCUGGAACCAAACCUGUAAUAUCUCUUAAGUAUAUCGAUACAGAUAUAUACAUACAUAGAUACAGACAUAUAUGCUUAGAAAUGAAUGACAGCAGUAAUACAAAGAAUGCAAAGAGUUGGAUGGUUAAUUUUUUUUUUUUUUUUUGUCUUUUUGCCAUUUCUUGGGCUGCUCCCGCAGCAUAUGGAGGUUCCCAGGCUAGGGGUCGAAUUGGAGCUGUAGCCACCAGCCUACACCAGAGCCACAGCAACGUGGGAUCCAAGCCGCGUCUGCGACCUACACCACAGCUCAUGGCAACACUGGAUCCUUAACCCACUGAGCAAGGCCAGGGAUCAAACCCGCAAGCUCAUGGAUCCUAGUCGGAUUCGUUAACCACUGCGCCACGACGGGAACUCCCCAAGAUUUGGGUUAAUUCUUUUUAUUUUAAGCUACACUAUUCGUGAAGUAGUACAGUGUCAUUUGAAAGUGGACUUUGAUUAGUUGUAAAUAUAUAUUAAUAAUAGCUAAAAAACUGGAAAUAAGCCAACUGGAUACACCGGUAGUUGAAUGGACAAACAAACUGUGGCAAAUUCAUACAAUGCAGUAUAUUCCUACUCAGCCACAUCCACCAAUCUCAAAAACAGGAUGUGGAGUCAAAGAAGAUAGUCACAAAAGUAUAAAAACUGUAUCUUUCCAUAUAGGAAGUUAAAGAACAGGCAAAAUGAAUCCAUGGUGAUAGAGGUCAGGACAGUGGCUGCCCCUGGGUGUUGAGGGUUAACUGGAAGAGACAGAGAGAACUUUCUAGAGCAAUGGAAAUGCUGUUGUCUUGACUGGGGUGGUGAUUUCAUGGGCUUAUACAUUUCUCAAAAUUUACCAAAAUGUAUCCUUCAGAUUUCUGCAUUUUCUUCUCCAUUCACCUUGCUUUAAAAAUUAGACCAAGAUUAAUCUUGUCGGGUAACAGUUUAUAAAGCUUGCAUUUCCGAAUAUUUAUUUUCUCCUGUAUAUUUAUUUAAUUUUUUAAAGCAGGCUUCAAAUUUCUACUCUAAGUCAUUAACUAUAUGACAUCUAUUCAGACUUAAAAUGCAUCUGUUGAUAAAAAUUGUCCAUAUUUCUGAGCCUUUCCUUCAUCGAAGAGUUACAGGUUUUAAGAAAUAAAAGAGGGUUGAACCACCAUGCUAUGGAAACAGAAGUGAGAUGGAACAGGCUCCGAGACUGAAAUGAAACGCCACAAACAAAGAUAGAGAAUGACGAAGCAAGGGAAGAAUGAUUAAAAAUUACACGAAGAACGAAGCCCCCUAGGACACAUGCAAUAGAAAUUGAGGGUGUGAAUAACCACCAAGCAACGAUCCAUGUGAGGGAACCUCAGUCAGGAAAUAUGUGUUAGAACUGGGAGCCCUGCAGUGACCUUGGGUCCUGUCCUCAUACCACGCAUACCUCUCAUUCCACGGGACACAAAUAUGCCUUUCAUAUUAGAAAGAAGACUAUUUCCUAUAUGCUGGGCCUUUCCAGGGGCCGUCAGCAAGCACAGAGAGAGACAUUUGGACAGAAGCGACUUAGAUUUCCUAAAACCUUUCUUUCUUCCCAGACAACACUCGUUCUCUGAAAGUUUAUUCACUGGACUCAUGACGUGCUCUAUUUGAGAAAAAGAUUUUAACAUGAAUUUGCAAGAAAAGAGAUAAUUUGAACAAAAAAGAAGUGUUCAUAGAAUGGGUAAUUUUUAAGAUCUGCUAGAAGAGGGGCUGUUGUGCUGGCAACAGCUACUGUCCCCUGGCUUUGCUCUAUAUUAGAAUUGUCUGCACACUCUGCUUUCUCUGUUCAGCUAUAAACAACGUGAGGGCAGGAAUUGCAUUUUACCUUGAACAUGACUGGAGAGGAAGCAUUAUUUGCUCAAUGAAA
rnacentral:lncRNA from 1 species